GUAUGGGCAGACCAAUGCGCAUGCGUUCUCUGACUCGCAUGUGGCAUAGAAAACAUUUGGAAGAUCACACGUUCGUCGGCCAUGGAUGCUGAAGAGUGGACAGAGGAUUUUCUUUCUCAAAUUGACAGUUCGUUAGCGUCACAUUUCGACCUGGAUGAUAAGUAAGAUUUUAAGUUAACGACUGAUCAAGACAACCGCCGUUUUGGUGAGCUCGUCAAUGAAAAUGAAUUACGACAAUUUGUGAAAAUGUGUAGGUGUAUCAUUGAUACACCUACACUUUUGACAGGUGUACCUGUCAAUACACCUACACUUUUAACAAAGGAAACAAUGGCAACGAGACCGGAAGUGGGGUAUAAGUUAUACUUAACGUCAAUGUUGCAGGAUAAACUAGACAAAAUAUCAUUCGUAGCGUUGGUCACCAUUGAACAAAACCACAUGACUGUGUGUCAACACUGCUUCAUCCCGGUGCUGAUAAGAGGUGUUUGGGAAAUGUGACUGCAUCCUGCGACUGAAACUCUGAAAUGAUUGAAUCAUUCCAGAAACACAUACUAACGACCCGUCUACUACAAAUGAGAGGGAAACAGUGAAAAGUGUCAAUGUUGUUAAAACUUUAUAAGUUAUUGGUGAAUCCAACAAGUUCUUUCAUAUUUACAUACUGGGGCAACUGUGGUUGUGAUUAUGUUUAAACGAAGACAUUUUACUAUCCUCUCUCAAUCGUCCAUGUAUGCUUUGACGUCUGACCAAUAUGAAAUAUGCGUAAUACAUUUGAAACUAGCAGUCCCAAUCUGAAUUUACGUGAUGCCGUCAUUAUGUGUUGACAGUUCAAGCAAAGAACAUAACUGUUUCACUCGAUCUUACAGUCCUGAAUGUAUACAAUAUUUCAGCAUUCACUUUGUAUUUCUUUCAUGGAAGGAAGUCUACAUCUGAAUUUCAUCUUUAAAGUUUGUCGUAUGAAAUGAAUCAGCAAUGCAUAUAAUCAUAUUUGCUAUUUCUUUCCAAUAAUCUGCACUGGUCGUUUUAAUGUGUGAUGUCAUUCGAUGUUGUGUUCAGUUCUAUGUAAAUAUACUCCUGAUUUACCUUCCGUGAAAUGUGAGCAAAAUAUUGAUUUGAAAAUCCACAAUGACUUUCCUCAUACAUGUAUGUGUUGAACAUUGUGUAACAGAUAGUGUACUUCCUGUGAGUAUUUGCAAAGGAUACUAUACAGAUAACACCGUGUUUUAGAUAUACUACCUUCUGUGUCAAUUUGCAAUGGAUUACGAGCAAUCAACAAGUUGUUGUACAUGAAUGCGCUCUGGUAGCAUAUUCAAGGGAUACCGUCAUCCAGCGAUAGUACCACUGUCCCUUGUACAUUGCAGCUGGUUACAUACUCAUUGCCUCAUUAUGUUAUUGUGUACAUUGUAUAGUCCUAUUUUUUUCAUGACUCAUGUUUGAGGCGCCUUGUAUUUCUGUUCAUUGUUUGCAUUUUAUUUAUAGGAAAUAAAUGUAUUUAUUGUAAAUGUG